rnacentral:lncRNA from 1 species
AUGUUUCCAGAUUUUUGGCAGGUAUAAUAUUAUAUUAUAUUAUAUUAAUUAAUGAUUAUUAAACACUUUUUAUUGUUACAGGACAAUCUAUUAUUACAAAAAGAUAUAUCUGUUACUGUGAUUUUUUUUUAUUUUUUUUAUCCUAUUUCCGAUGACUAACCUACACUGCAUGUUUACUUCAGUGAUUAUAGAUAUCAUAUCAGAAUGUCUUGAUACUGACUCAUCAUGAGUCGAGAAAUAAUCAUGUGACUCUCCCUCCAGCUCCUAUUGGCUCAGUGAAUGUGUCAAUCAUCUGCUCCUCCAAUCAGAGGUCAGUGUUCUGCUCAUCUGACGGGGAUCACAUCAUCUCCAGCUGGACUCUGAAUGGAGAAAUACUAGAACAAGGACCAGUGGAUGGAAACACCACCAUUCAGCUAAAAGAGGGAAAUGAUGGAGACAUCAUCUGCAGCGUGAAGAACCACGUCAGUCACGCACAGACGUCCAUUAGACUCAAACCCUGUCCUGGUGAGAUCAUUUAAUAAACAUGAAUGUCACAUAUACAUAAGAACUAAAGCAACACUGAUCAUGUAAAACAGUCAGUUCUCUUGAUUCUUGAAAAGUGUCAUGAGUUUGUUUCAGCUUGAUCUCAGCAGUGAAUGGUGUUGAUGUGUUCAGAGAGAAAGAAGCUGAUUCUGUGCUGAUGUUUUAUUUCAGGACCAACUUCUGCAGCUGUGACACCAACACCAGAAUCUGGUAUGAGUUCAACAAACAUUACUGGAAACAUGAAGGAUGGGUUUGUUUCGUGUCUCACUGUUGUUGUUCAGUGUGUUCAGUGUCUGUGGUGUUUGUUCUGGUCUGGUGUCUUCAGCUGAUGGUUCUGUUCGGUCUGUUAGGAGCUUUUCACAUCUACAUGAGACACACGUCAGGAAAGAAAGAGGAAGAUGAGAAAGUGAGAAUGAGAAGAUUUAGAGAGAGACAUGAACACACAGCAGAAGAUUCAUGAGAGCAGCAGCAGAUCUUCACAUUUGUGAGAAAUGACUUCAGAAUCAGUUCAGCUUUCACCUGCUGAAUAAAACCAGGAGACAGAAGAAGCUUUCAUGAUAGACAUUGAUCUUUACAUGUGUUUAUUUCUUGAACACUUUUUUUGUAUCAGUUUUAUUCAUAUAAUUAUUUUGUAUUCUUUAUGCUUUCAAUGACUAGGAGUAUUUUAUUACAUUGAAUUAAACUCCUUCUGUUCAUCCGUGAUCAAAUUCUUUUAUUUCUCUGAAUCAGAUCCGUCAGAUUGUGAACUCAUUCUGUGUGUUUUUUCUGUUCUUUCUCUUUUAAUUUAUUCUUGAUUUGGUUGAUUUCUCUUUAUGUUCAGUGUCUGUUGAGGUGUUUUAUCUGUUUGAAGCUCUUCAUCCGUGUCUCAGUUUUGCAGCAUCUGGUGUUUUCUGACUCUGGUUUUGCUUGAAUCUGCAGGUUUUUUACAUGAAUUUUAACACAUUUAACCACAUAUGUGCAUUUAACUUCACAAUAUAUUUGUGUCAUUAUAGAGUGAUGAUAAACAUCUCAUUCUUUAGAAACUGUAAUUGAUGUCAUUGUUUAUUUUGUUAUGCUUUACUUUGAGUUAUAUUAAAAUAAAAUGCUUUGAAAUGAAAUGUAAAUAUACAGUCAAUUAACAUGUUAUCUAUCAGCAUGAUUCCACGGUUGAUAUUUAUUUUAGACUAUUCAUGGUAACUUCUAGCUAGUUGUCUUGGUCAAAUCUUAUGUAACAACAUUAGACAGAUUCAUUUCAGCAACAAUCUGAAAUCUGACCCGACAGACCAGAAUAUAGAUUAUUUACAGACUUAGAGCAGUAAAACACAAUAUCAAAUACACUAAAACAGCAUUAUUUAAUGAUUAAUUAAAUUCUUUGUUGACUAUUAAUGAAUAAUUAGUUGAUGGUAACUGAAAAGCAUCUGUAAUGUGUCUUUAAUUAGCAGUUAAGUUCAGAUAAAUCAGAUGAAGCUCAUUUUAAGCGUGAUGUUGUGAGUGAAAUGAAAGCAGCUGUAGUUGUAGUUUCCUCCUGCAGGUGUCGCUCUCUACAUGAGCAGCUCUGAGCAGAUAUAAACUCAAUGUCCCAUGAGUCUCAGCUGCAGCAGACAGAAGAUUGAAGCUCACAAUCCUCUCUUCAUUCACACAUCAACUGAUGGAUCCGAGUCAAACAUCAUCACACACCGUCUGCUGGAAACACCACAU